GAGGGUAUAGCUCAGUGGUAGAGUGCGUGCUCAGCAUGCAAGAGGUCCUGGGUUCAGUUCCCAGUACCUCCA
rnacentral:tRNA from 1 species